rnacentral:rRNA from 1 species
GACGAACGCUGGCGGCGUGCCUAAUACAUGCAAGUCGAGCGCAGGAAAUCGACGGAACCCUUCGGGGGGAAGUCGACGGAAUGAGCGGCGGACGGGUGAGUAACACGUAAAGAACCUGCCCUCAGGUCUGGGAUAACCACGAGAAAUCGGGGCUAAUACCGGAUGGGUCAUCGGACCGCAUGGUCCGAGGAUGAAAGGCGCUUCGGCGUCGCCUGGGGAUGGCUUUGCGGUGCAUUAGCUAGUUGGUGGGGUAAUGGCCCACCAAGGCGACGAUGCAUAGCCGACCUGAGAGGGUGAUCGGCCACACUGGGACUGAGACACGGCCCAGACUCCUACGGGAGGCAGCAGUAGGGAAUCUUCCACAAUGGACGAAAGUCUGAUGGAGCAACGCCGCGUGAACGAUGAAGGCCUUCGGGUCGUAAAGUUCUGUUGUAAGGGAAGAACAAGUGCCGCAGGCAAUGGCGGCACCUUGACGGUCCCUUGCGAGAAAGCCACGGCUAACUACGUGCCAGCCGCCGCGGUAAGAC